UUUUAGUUUUGCUAUGUUUUCACGUAAGGAAAAAGUACAGAAAAGUAGUAAGUGUCGAAAAAUGGAGCAGUUGAUUUUACCUAAUGCCAAAUUGAAAUUCUGUGUUGAUCAGUUGCAAAAUUUGAAUUUUUUGUUUAAUAACCGUCUGGAUCCUAGUGAAGCUGCUGAAGGUUUGUCUCCGGAAAAGUCCAUUUUAUUGGCAAAAUCUGUUACUGAAAGAUUAGUUCAACGAUUGUUAUGUGGAGCAGCCCAAAUUGACCCAAGGUUUUCUUCAAAAUAUCUUAUAAACACGCGUAUUGAUCAAAACGAUUACACCGCAACGCACUUGGAAUAUGUAAUCCGUUUAGACAAUUUAUCGACACCUACAAUUUAUGAAGACUAUGAGAGAUCCACAUUUGAAGUUCUGGAAACUGAUAAGGAUUGUCCAGCUGGAUAUGCCAGAAUUCGUCUAAAUGGAUCCACGUUUAAGCAAUUUGAAGAGUUUAUAAAUUCUUUUGGGUUUUUAAGAAGAGAUCGCAUUCAAGCAAGACUUGUGGAACUUUUAGCGCAAGCUGCAGGUAGUGAUAAACCUACAUCACCCCUACACGUGGAUGAAUCCACUAUGUGUGGAAUACCCGGGAAAAUUAUGGAUCCAGCAACGCUGUACCAUGUUUUAAGUAUUCCAGCAAGUCAACAUGUUUACUAUGGCCCAGGAGGUAAUGUUCCAAGAUUUCCCGACACCCGAGAUUUCCGGCUGGCGAUCGUAGAUGAACCCAAUGGCAUAAAAUUAAAAGUGGAAUUCCUAUCUCCAGCUUUAGCCGAUAUCUCAAUAAAAGUCACUAUCUUAGUGGCGAUAGGAAUAGACUCUUGGCCUGCCACUAGCGAUUUUCCGUCUAGGAUUCCAUUAGGACACUCCGAUUGUUUACUGUAUUAUGAAGCAGCCCUAACCGGAAUGUAUCUGGUUGGUUAUGGAGUUCAUUCGUCUGCCUGGCAGAUUAGAUUGCCUGCUGCAGAGUUCACACUGUUAAACCAUUAUGGAGCUAAUAGUGUUGUGCGAACCAUUCUAGAUGUUUUAUAUCAAAUCUUAAAGGAUAUUAAUUCUUACAGAAAAAUGCGAAAACCCAUCUCCUAUAAAAUAUUGAAUAGAUAUAUGUUGUUUACUUUACUCUUGGAAGAAUUGGAGGAAAAUUCAACGACGCCAUUCUACGAUAUGGCUUUGUGGUCUCCCAUGUACUUAUCAACUUUGGUAUUGAAAUUGCUUGACAAAGCAAUAAAUAGACUCAGCUCAGAAUUUCAACCAAAUUAUUUCUUUAAAAAAGCUAAUUUAUUAGUGAAUCCUGGACAUUUAUGCGACGAAGACUUUACCAUUGAAGCAAAUAAUAUCAAAGGAUAUAUGGUGAAGCUGUUUGAUGAGUCACUAAUGUCCAACAUUGGUAACGACGGGUUUUCAACCUUGAUAAAUUCCCAAGAAUCAGAAAUGAAUCUACUUUACAAAUGGAAAGGAUUGGUGGAAAAUAUGGCUCCACCUUCUGGAACGAGGGGAAGAAGGCUAUGCUUUGCCGGUUCUAAAAACCGUAGAGAAAUUGUCCACACUCAAUAUACUGCUCGGCAAUUGGAGUAUAUAGGAUUGGUCUUACACAGCAUGCUAAAAGUUAAACAGCAUAUCCUACACCCUCACUAUAACACUGGCUUUAAGAGCUUGUAUAGUCCGGAAGAGGAGCUUGAAAUGCAACCUUUAGAGGAUGUAAUUUACAUACUAGUGUCUUUGCUGGAUCAAGCAAAAGAGCAAUAUCUUUCUUUGCCUAAUACAGACAACAAAAAAAUCAGUGCAAAGAUUAAGUCGCGUUACAGUGAUUGUUUGGCCAAACUUAUAGAGGUCAUACGAAAAGACAGAGAAGUAUUUUCAAAAAACUCUCCAGACCUUUAUGACGACAUAACGCUAGUUAAAGUGAUUCUCAAGUGGCUUUACAAAGCUAUGGAUCAGAGCAAGAAGUAUUUUGCUCCAAUUCUCAGGCCCUAUUUAAACACUGUUUUUACCGCUAGUUAUCACGUAUCGUAUCACAUAGAGUUUAUCAAGGAAAGGGCAAAAACAGAUGAAAUUGAAUCAAUGGGUGCUUUCUGUCUUUUGGUUAAUACUGGAACGAUUACGCCUGCUCAAGGGCUGAUAGACUCCAUAAACAAAAACUGGCUAUGGGCUCGAGAUAUGCUUCGAAUGGUGGAACAAAACACUUUGAGAUUGGUGUUUAUACAAACCAGAGGUAAAGUGUAUCGACACAUUCUGUCUUUGCCAUCAUACUCCAAAGAUAACGACUUUGAGACCACUGGGAGCAAAACUUGGAACGACAAGGCCAGGAAAAUUCGAUCGAUUAAAAGAAAAUCCACUCUUCCGGGAAGAAAUUAUUUCAGCUCCCUACUCCAUGAUGUUAAUUACAGAGGCAACAAUUAGCAACAGGAAUACACCACAACACGAAACUCUGAAGUCAAAUUCGCCUCUUACUAUUAUUUUGCGAAAGAAAUACCGAAUGGGGCAACAUAGAUGUGCAGGUGAUCUAUUGAGAGCGAUGACUACAAUGCAGAAGCUCAGUGUAUUCCAAGAAGCGACAUCAACAUUGCCAAAGGAAGAUCAAUCGAAACUACUGGAUAUAAUAGAUAACAUUCAUACGGCAAAAGCAAAAAGAUCGUUAACAAAAAAAUGGUCAAGUACUCUGCCUCAUAGCAGCAAAAUUUGCCCUUCUCGGGAACUGGUGCAGAAGUAUACACCAAAGGAAGAAAGUGCUGGAAUAAGAAUUUCUCCUGAACAAACCAGAAAAAA
rnacentral:misc_RNA from 1 species